rnacentral:rRNA from 2 species
GCUUCCACUCAAUUGCCGACGAUAGCUAGCGACCUGAGAAGUGAUCGCACAUGAAUGAGAACACGGCCAGACUCUACCGGGAGGCAGGCAGUAAGGGAUCUCGGCAAUGACGAAGUCUGACGAGCACGCCGCGUGAGUGAUGAAGGUUUCGAUCGUAAAACUCUGUUGUCAGGGAAGAACAAGUGCCGGAGUAACUGCCGGCACUUGACGGUACUGACCAGAAAGCACGGCUAACUACGUGCCAGCAGCCGCGGUAAUACGUAGGUGGCAGCGUUGUCCGGAAUUAUUGGGCGUAAAGCGCGCGCAGGCGGUUUCUUAAGUCUGAUGUGAAAGCCCCCGGCUCAACCGGGGAGGGUCAUUGGAAACUGGGAAACUUGAGUGCAGAAGAGGAGAGUGGAAUUCCACGUGUAGCGGUGAAAUGCGUAGAGAUGUGGAGGAACACCAGUGGCGAAGGCGACUCUCUGGUCUGUAACUGACGCUGAGGCGCGAAAGCGUGGGGAGCGAACAGGAUUAGAUACCCUGGUAGUCCACGCCGUAAACGAUGAGUGCUAAGUGUUAGAGGGUUUCCGCCCUUUAGUGCUGCAGCUAACGCAUUAAGCACUCCGCCUGGGGAGUACGGUCGCAAGACUGAAACUCAAAGGAAUUGACGGGGGCCCGCACAAGCGGUGGAGCAUGUGGUUUAAUUCGAAGCAACGCGAAGAACCUUACCAGGUCUUGACAUCCUUUGCCACUUCUAGAGAUAGAAGGUUCCCCUUCGGGGGACAAAGUGACAGGUGGUGCAUGGUUGUCGUCAGCUCGUGUCGUGAGAUGUUGGGUUAAGUCCCGCAACGAGCGCAACCCUUGAUCUUAGUUGCCAGCAUUCAGUUGGGCACUCUAAGGUGACUGCCGGUGACAAACCGGAGGAAGGUGGGGAUGACGUCAAAUCAUCAUGCCCCUUAUGACCUGGGCUACACACGUGCUACAAUGGAUGGUACAAAGGGCUGCGAGACCGCGAGGUUUAGCCAAUCCCAUAAAACCAUUCUCAGUUCGGAUUGCAGGCUGCAACUCGCCUGCAUGAAGCUGGAAUCGCUAGUAAUCGCGGAUCAGCAUGCCGCGGUGAAUACGUUCCCGGGCCUUGUACACACCGCCCGUCACACCACGAGAGUUUGCAACACCCGAAGUCGGUGGGGUAACCGCAAGGAGCCAGCCGCCUAAGGUGGCUUCUGU